rnacentral:rRNA from 1 species
ACUCCUACGGGAGGCAGCAGUGGGGAAUAUUGCACAAUGGGGGAAACCCUGAUGCAGCCAUGCCGCGUGUGUGAAGAAGGCCUUGGGUUGUAAAGCACUUUCAGUAGGGAGGAAGGUAGUGUAGUUAACACCUGCAUUAUUUGUACGUUACCUACAGAAGAAGCACCGGCUAACUCCGUGCCAGCAGCCGCGGUAAGUACGGAGGGUGCGAGCGUUAAUACGGAAUUACGUGGGCGUAAAGCGCAUGCAGGCGGCCUGUUAAGUCAGAUGUGAAAGCCCGGGGCUUAACCUCGGAAUUGCAUUUGAAACUGGCAGGCUAGAGUCUGUAGAGGGGUUAG